rnacentral:rRNA from 1 species
UACAGAGGUCUCAAGCGUUGUUCGGAUUCAUUGGGCGUAAAGGGUGCGUCGGCGGCGCGGUAAGUCGGGUGUGAAAUCUCGGAGCUUAACUCCGAAACUGCAUUCGAUACUGCCGUGCUUGAGGACUGGAGAGGAGACUGGAAUUUACGGUGUAGCGGUGAAAUGCGUAGAUAUCGUAAGGAAGGCCAGUGGCGAAGGCGGGUCUCUGGACAGUUCCUGACGCUGAGGCACGAAGGUCAGGGGAGCAAACGGG